GAUGAACGCUGGCGGCGUGCCUAAUACAUGCAAGUCGAGCGAACGGACGAGAAGCUUGCUUCUCUGAUGUUAGCGGCGGACGGGUGAGUAACACGUGGAUAACCUACCUAUAAGACUGGGAUAACUUCGGGAAACCGGAGCUAAUACCGGAUAAUAUUUUGAACCGCAUGGUUCAAAAGUGAAAGACGGUCUUGCUGUCACUUAUAGAUGGAUCCGCGCUGCAUUAGCUAGUUGGUAAGGUAGCGGCUUACCAAGGCAACGAUGCAUAGCCGACCUGAGAGGGUGAUCGGCCACACUGGAACUGAGACACGGUCCAGACUCCUACGGGAGGCAGCAGUAGGGAAUCUUCCGCAAUGGGCGAAAGCCUGACGGAGCAACGCCGCGUGAGUGAUGAAGGUCUUCGGGUCGUAAAACUCUGUUAUUAGGGAAGAACAUAUGUGUAAGUAACUGUGCACAUCUUGACGGUACCUAAUCAGAAAGCCACGGCUAACUACGUGCCAGCAGCCGCGGUAAUACGUAGGUGGCAAGCGUUAUCCGGAAUUAUUGGGCGUAAAGCGCGCGUAGGCGGUUUUUUAAGUCUGAUGUGAAAGCCCACGGCUCAACCGUGGAGGGUCAUUGGAAACUGGAAAACUUGAGUGCAGAAGAGGAAAGUGGAAUUCCAUGUGUAGCGGUGAAAUGCGCAGAGAUAUGGAGGAACACCAGUGGCGAAGGCGACUUUCUGGUCUGUAACUGACGCUGAUGUGCGAAAGCGUGGGGAUCAAACAGGAUUAGAUACCCUGGUAGUCCACGCCGUAAACGAUGAGUGCUAAGUGUUAGGGGGUUUCCGCCCCUUAGUGCUGCAGCUAACGCAUUAAGCACUCCGCCUGGGGAGUACGACCGCAAGGUUGAAACUCAAAGGAAUUGACGGGGACCCGCACAAGCGGUGGAGCAUGUGGUUUAAUUCGAAGCAACGCGAAGAACCUUACCAAAUCUUGACAUCCUUUGACAACUCUAGAGAUAGAGCCUUCCCCUUCGGGGGACAAAGUGACAGGUGGUGCAUGGUUGUCGUCAGCUCGUGUCGUGAGAUGUUGGGUUAAGUCCCGCAACGAGCGCAACCCUUAAGCUUAGUUGCCAUCAUUAAGUUGGGCACUCUAAGUUGACUGCCGGUGACAAACCGGAGGAAGGUGGGGAUGACGUCAAAUCAUCAUGCCCCUUAUGAUUUGGGCUACACACGUGCUACAAUGGACAAUACAAAGGGCAGCGAAACCGCGAGGUCAAGCAAAUCCCAUAAAGUUGUUCUCAGUUCGGAUUGUAGUCUGCAACUCGACUACAUGAAGCUGGAAUCGCUAGUAAUCGUAGAUCAGCAUGCUACGGUGAAUACGUUCCCGGGUCU
rnacentral:rRNA from 1 species